rnacentral:rRNA from 1 species
CAAACGGUAACAGGAUAGCUUGCCAUCGCUGACGAGUGGCGGACGGGUGAGUAAUACUUAGGGAUCUGCCUCUGUGUGGGGGAUAACUAUUGGAAACGAUAGCUAAUACCGCAUAAUGUCUACGGACCAAAGCGGGCUUCGGCUCGUGCGCAGAGAGGAACCUAAGCGAGAUUAGCUAGUUGGUGAGGUAAAGGCUCACCAAGGCGACGAUCUCUAGCUGUUCUGAGAGGAAGAUCAGCCACACUGGAACUGAGACACGGUCCAGACUCCUACGGGAGGCAGCAGUGGGGAAUAUUGCACAAUGGGGGAAACCCUGAUGCAGCCAUGCCGCGUGUGUGAAGAAGGCCUUCGGGUUGUAAAGCACUUUCAGUUGUGAGGAAAGUUUAGUAGUUAAUACCUGCUAGAUGUGACGUUAGCAACAGAAGAAGCACCGGCUAACUCCGUGCCAGCAGCCGCGGUAAUACGGAGGGUGCGAGCGUUAAUCGGAAUUACUGGGCGUAAAGCGCACGCAGGCGGUCUGUUAAGCUAGAUGUGAAAGCCCCGCGCUCAACGUGGGAGGGUCAUUUA